GCCGGGUGCUCCUGCAGAUAAACCCGGACGCCACGUCCCGCCUCGGCUGCUUAUUUAGCAAGGCGCCUUCUGCGCAUAUUUUACCCGGCUGGGGGCAGUGAGUGGGAACCGCCGGGAGAGGGGGCGGGGAACCACCAACUACUCGCCUUCGGACCCAGUGUGCCGGCCUCCGGCCCCAGCCAUUUUGUAUCCAGCUUCCCUCCUCCACUCCCACCGGGUCCCUGCGAAGACGCACCACCCCGAACCCCUUCGCGGUACCACUCCCGAACUGGAGGGGUAGAGAAGGCUCUGCCAGCCCCUCGCCUGCAGCAGGAAGGAAGGCUCCGGUUUGAACUCUACCUGUUCAUGGGGACAGAUGCUGAGACCUGGAGGGGAAGAGGGAAGGUGGUACAAGGAACCUGCAGGAGACUGCAGUAUCAGGUGGCAGUAUCAGGAGGCUGAUAAAUCCAGGCUAAUGGAAAUUACUAUUGCACAACACCAGAGUCUUCACGUGGCCUGACUUUCAAUAAACUGUUCCCCUCCUCACUCCUUGGAGAAAGUGAAAUAAGACAUUAGACUUUCAGUAAUCUCAUAUGGUGAUGAUCAAUCGAAACCUGGAGAAGAAGGCCAAUUUAUAGAAAUUGUAUCUGCUUCACUGGGUGGCUGGAACCAGGGAGCUGAAAAGAAAACGGUGCUCGCCUUUGAUGUGUGAAGUUGCCCCAAAAUGACAAACGCCAAAAAACACUGGCUAUACAUGUGGGGUAUUCAAAGGGAGAGGGUACUCAGGAGAGGCCUUUGUUAGGUGGAUCAUUGCGGGGACCUGACCAAAGACACAUGCACAUGUUCAGGCCACAUAAAAGCGAUUUAUUUUUCUUAUCUUUUGGCUAUUUUAAGUUGGAGUUUCCAUCUUUCUUAUUUGUUUUAUCACCAAUGAAGUUUAUUUACUGAAUUAACUUUUAACGGACCCUCCACUUUGUUCUUCAGAGUUGGCUUCCACGACUUGCGCCUGUUUAGCCAGGAUUCCUCUUGCCUUUGUGACCGCCCCCCCUCCCCGCCAAAUCCCAAUCCUGGAGGUGAACGGCUCAGUCUCUGUUAACUCCUUGCCUGCUGGUGUUUUUUCUCUGUAGCUACUAAUCACCUCCUUUUGAUCACUGCCAAGUUCUCAGGUUGAAGGAAGGAGAAAGGACCUCUUGACCACUCUGGCUGGCUUUCCA
rnacentral:lncRNA from 1 species